rnacentral:rRNA from 1 species
UACAGAGGGUGCGAGCGUUGUUCGGAAUUAUUGGGCGUAAAGGGCGCGUAGGCGGUGCGGUAAGUCACCUGUGAAAUCUCCUGGCUCAACUGGGAGCUUGCAGGCGAAACUGCCGUGCUGGAGUGUGGGAGAGGUGCGUGGAAUUCCCGGUGUAGCGGUGAAAUGCGCAGAUAUCGGGAAGAACGACCCGUGGCGAAGGCGGCUACUCUGGGACGGUACUGACGCUGAGACGCGAAAGCGUGGGGAGCGAACAGG